rnacentral:rRNA from 1 species
CGGCGUCGAGCGGCGGACGGGUGAGUAAUGCCUAGGAAAUUGCCCUGAUGUGGGGGAUAACCAUUGGAAACGAUGGCUAAUACCGCAUGAUGCCUACGGGCCAAAGAGGGGGACCUUCGGGCCUCUCGCGUCAGGAUAUGCCUAGGUGGGAUUAGCUAGUUGGUGAGGUAAGGGCUCACCAAGGCGACGAUCCCUAGCUGGUCUGAGAGGAUGAUCAGCCACACUGGAACUGAGACACGGUCCAGACUCCUACGGGAGGCAGCAGUGGGGAAUAUUGCACAAUGGGCGCAAGCCUGAUGCAGCCAUGCCGCGUGUGUGAAGAAGGCCUUCGGGUUGUAAAGCACUUUCAGUCGUGAGGAAGGUAGUGUAGUUAAUAGCUGCAUUAUUUGACGUUAGCGACAGAAGAAGCACCGGCUAACUCCGUGCCAGCAGCCGCGGUAAUACGGAGGGUGCGAGCGUUAAUCGGAAUUACUGGGCGUAAAGCGCAUGCAGGUGGUUUGUUAAGUCAGAUGUGAAAGCCCGGGGCUCAACCUCGGAAUUGCAUUUGAAACUGGCAGACUAGAGUACUGUAGAGGGGGGUAGAAUUUCAGGUGUAGCGGUGAAAUGCGUAGAGAUCUGAAGGAAUACCGGUGGCGAAGGCGGCCCCCUGGACAGAUACUGACACUCAGAUGCGAAAGCGUGGGGAGCAAACAGGAUUAGAUACCCUGGUAGUCCACGCCGUAAACGAUGUCUACUUGGAGGUUGUGGCCUUGAGCCGUGGCUUUCGGAGCUAACGCGUUAAGUAGACCGCCUGGGGAGUACGGUCGCAAGAUUAAAACUCAAAUGAAUUGACGGGGGCCCGCACAAGCGGUGGAGCAUGUGGUUUAAUUCGAUGCAACGCGAAGAACCUUACCUACUCUUGACAUCCAGAGAACUUUCCAGAGAUGGAUUGGUGCCUUCGGGAACUCUGAGACAGGUGCUGCAUGGCUGUCGUCAGCUC